AUAAAGUAAUCCACAAAUCCAGGUUGACCAGUUGGCUCUGUACUUGCCACUGAUUCCCAACCAGCAGAAAUGGGGGAAUGAAGUCCAUGGCAAAUCAUUUUAAAUUACAUGAGUCACUUCUGCUCAUUCUGUUUACCAAAAUCUAGUCACAUAGUCACAGUUAGCUAAAUAUAGUCCCUACCUUAGUCUAUAUUGUGUUGCUCUAACAAAACACCUGAGGCUGAAUACUUUAUAAAGAAAAGAUGUUGGCAAGCAUGGUGUGCAUGACUGUAAUCCCAGCAACUCCAGAAGCUGAGACAGGAGGAUCACAAAUAUGAGGUCAACCUCAACAAUUUAGUGAGGCUCUACACAACUUAGCAAGACUGCUUCAAAAUAAAAAAAUAAAAAGGGCUGGGGAUGUAGUUCAGUUGUAAAACACCCAUAGGUUCAAUCCCCAGUACUGGAAAAAAAAAAAAAAAAGCUCAGAGUUCUGGAAGUCUAAAAGCAUGGCACUGGCACUUACAUCUGUUUGACUUCUUGUAAGAUCUUCAUGAUAGAUGGUAUUAAAUGCAGAAGAGACAAAGCACGGGGGUAAACUUGCUUUAUGAAAACUCACUCUGCAGUAACUAAUCCAGUCCCAAGAAACCACUCCCUUGAGACCAAAUCCAAUCUUGAGAGACCUAACAGUUUUUCCCAAAAGAGGUUAACCUGUAGUCAGACCUAAGUUUAUAAAGAUUGUUGUAGACAAAGUUUGGGCCACUCUUAGGAGGACUGAACCAUCCCCAAGUCAGGAGACAUUUUUUCCUUUGUAACUCUGAGCUUCUCAGGGCUCCUGACCAGCUUCUUUCCUAGGAACUCAUAGUUUCUUACCCAGUGUUUGGGAGGCAGGGGGAAUAUAUAGUCAUACAUUUAUAAGCAUAUUUAUAAACAUAUGUAUAUAAUCAUGUCUCUGAGCAAUUAGAACUAUAACGAUUUUUUGCAAUGCCGACUCCUACAUUUUGAUGUAUGUUUGAUUACAUUUCCACUAUUCUAAAGUGUUCUUUGAUCUGGGAGGUUGAGAAGGCUCCAUGCUUUUAGCCUCCACUGUGGCACCUGGAACUUUGAAAGGGCAAAAAGGCCAGAAGCAGC
rnacentral:lncRNA from 1 species